GGUUGUGGCUCAGUGGUAGAGUGCUCGCCUUGCACAUGCAGAACCCUGGGUUCAAUUCUCAACACCA
rnacentral:tRNA from 1 species